rnacentral:rRNA from 1 species
GACGAACGCUGGCGGCGUGCCUAAUACAUGCAAGUAGAACGCAGUUGCGAACGGGUGAGUAACGCGUAGGUAACUGCCUGGUAGCGGGGGAUAACUAUUGGUAACGAUAGCUAAUACCGCCUACUACUAGAUGGACCUGCGUUGGAUUAGCUAGUUGGUGGGGUAAUGGCUCACCAAGGCAACGAUACAUAGCCGACCUGGGAGGGGGAACGGCAAAACUGGGACUGAGAAACGGCCCAGACUCCUACGGGAGGCAGCAGUAGGGAAUCUUCGGCAAUGGACGGAAGUCUGACCGAGCAACGCCGCGUGAGUGAAGAAGGUUUUCGGAUCGUAAAGCUCUGUUGUAAGAGAAGCGGUAUCUUACCAGAAAGGGACGGCUAACUACGUGCCAGCAGCCGCGGUAAUUC